AACCAUCGAAGCGACGCACUCCUCCUCCCAGCGUCGUUAGAUGAGAUCGGCAAUCUCCUCCUCCUCCCAAUUGCCGAUCAUGUUUAAAGCCCGACGCACCUCCUCCCGCGUCGGGCUUUUUCG
rfam:Rhizobium sp. NT-26 chromosome, complete genome.